rnacentral:ncRNA from 2 species
AUAGUGGUCUGGGGUGUCUUCGGACUGAGAAUUUCACGACCGUGAAAUAACCCUUUGAACCUGAUCCGGUUGAUACCGGCGUAGGGAACGGACCGAGCAAUUGCAA